UCAGAACUGCAUCACUGGGAAGGAG
rnacentral:piRNA from 1 species